rnacentral:rRNA from 1 species
AGAUUUAACGAAAGUGGCGAACGGGUGAGUAACACGUGAGCAACCUGCCUUACACAGGGGAUAGCCAUUGGAAACGGUGAUUAAUACCCCAUAAGACCACAAUACCGCAUGGUAAAAGGGUAAAAGGGAUACCGGUGUAAGAUGGGCUCGCGUCUGAUUAGCUAGUUGGUGGGGUAAAGGCCUACCAAGGCGACGAUCAGUAGCCGGUCUGAGAGGAUGAACGGCCACAUUGGAACUGAGACACGGUCCAAACUCCUACGGGAGGCAGCAGNU